rnacentral:rRNA from 1 species
CGCCGCGUGAGCGAAGAAGGAUUUCGGUUUGUAAAGCUCUAUCAGCAGGGAAGAAAAUGACGGUACCUGACUAAGAAGCCCCGGCUAACUACGUGCCAGCAGCCGCGGUAAUACGUAGGGGGCAAGCGUUAUCCGGAUUUACUGGGUGUAAAGGGAGCGUAGGCGGCUGGACAAGUCUGAUGUGAAAGCCCGGGGCUCAACCCCGGGACUGCAUUGNAAACUGUUUCNUAGAGUGUCGGAGAGGUNGUGGAAUUCCUAGUGUAGCGGUGAAAUGCGUAWDUMYUANGAGGAACAUCAAUGGCGAANGCGACUUACUGGACNAUAACUGACGCUGAGGCUCGAAAGCGUGGGGAGCAAACAGGAUUANAUACCCUGGUAGUCCACGCUGUAAACGAUGAAUACUAGGUGUCGGGUGGCAAAUCCAUUCNGUGCCGCAGCUAACGCAAUAAGUAUUCCACCUGGGGAGUACGUUCGCAAGAAUGAAAC